UGGGGAAUAUUGCACAAUGGGCGCAAGCCUGAUGCAGCCAUGCCGCGUGUAUGAAGAAGGCCUUCGGGUUGUAAAGUACUUUCAGCGGGGAGGAAGGCGAUAAGGUUAAUAACCUUGUCGAUUGACGUUACCCGCAGAAGAAGCACCGGCUAACUCCGUGCCAGCAGCCGCGGUAAUACGGAGGGUGCAAGCGUUAAUCGGAAUUACUGGGCGUAAAGCGCACGCAGGCGGUCUGUCAAGUCGGAUGUGAAAUCCCCGGGCUCAACCUGGGAACUGCAUUCGAAACUGGCAGGCUAGAGUCUUGUAGAGGGGGGUAGAAUUCCAGGUGUAGCGGUGAAAUGCGUAGAGAUCUGGAGGAAUACCGGUGGCGAAGGCGGCCCCCUGGACAAAGACUGACGCUCAGGUGCGAAAUCGUGGGGAGCAAACA
rnacentral:rRNA from 1 species